rnacentral:rRNA from 1 species
UACAGAGGUCUCAAGCGUUGUUCGGAUUCAUUGGGCGUAAAGGGUGCGUAGGUGGCAUGGUAAGUCGGAUGUGAAAUCCCGGGGCUCAACCCCGGAACUGCAUUCGAUACUGCUGCGCUAGAGUACUGGAGAGGAGAUUGGAAUUUACGGUGUAGCAGUGAAAUGCGUAGAUAUCGUAAGGAAGACCAGUGGCGAAGGCAGCUCGCUGGGACGGUACUGACGCUGAGGCGCGAAAGCGUGGGGAGCAAACAGG